UACGAGGGGGGCAAAUGUUGUUCGGAAUCACUGGGCGUAAAGGGCGCGUAGGCGGGCUCUUAAGUUAGGUGUUUAAUCCCGGGGCCCAACCCCGGACAGGCACCUAAAACUGGGAGUCUUGAAUAGUGGAGAGGACGGCGGAAUUGGGGGUGUAGCGGUGGAAUGCGUAGAGAUCCCCAAGAACACCAGUUGCGAAGGCGGCCGUCUGGACACAUAUUGACGCUGAGGCUCGAAAGCAUGGGGAGCAAACAGG
rnacentral:rRNA from 1 species